AUUGAACGCUGGCGGCAUGCCUUACACAUGCAAGUCGAACGGCAGCAUGAUCUAGCUUGCUAGAUUGAUGGCGAGUGGCAAACGGGUGAGUAAUACAUCGGAACGUGCCCUGUAGUGGGGGAUAACUAGUCGAAAGAUUAGCUAAUACCGCAUACGACCUGAGGGUGAAAGUGGGGGACCGCAAGGCCUCAUGCUAUAGGAGCGGCCGAUGUCUGAUUAGCUAGUUGGUGAGGUAAAGGCUCACCAAGGCGACGAUCAGUAGCUGGUCUGAGAGGACGAUCAGCCCACUGGGACUGAGACACGGCCCAGACUCCUACGGGAGGCAGCAGUGGGGGAUUUUGGACAAUGGGGGCAACCCUGAUCCAGCAAUGCCGCGUGUGUGAAGAAGGCCUUCGGGUUGUAAAGCACUUUUGUCCGGAAAGAAAUCGCACUUACUAAUAUUAGGUGUGGAUGACGGUACCGGAAGAAUAAGGACCGGCUAACUACGUGCCAGCCGCCGCAGUAAAAC
rnacentral:rRNA from 1 species